rnacentral:rRNA from 1 species
CCUACGGGAGGCAGCAGUAGGGAAUCUUCCACAAUGGGCGAAAGCCUGAUGGAGCAACGCCGCGUGGGUGAAGAAGGUCUUCGGAUCGUAAAACCCUGUUGUUAGAGAAGAAAGUGCGUGAGAGUAACUGUUCACGUUUCGACGGUAUCUAACCAGAACGCCACGGCUAACUACGUGCCAGCAGCCGCGGUAAUCCGUAGGUGGCAAGCGUUAUCCGGUUUUAUUGGGCGUAAAGGGAACGCAGGCGGUCUUUUAAGUCUGAUGUGAAAGCCUUCGGCUUAACCGGAGUAGUGCAUGGGAAACUGGGAGACGUGAGUGCAGAAGAGGAGAGUGGAACUCCAUGUGUAGCGGUGAAAUGCGUAGAUAUAUGGAAGAACACCAGUGGCGAAAGCGGCUCUCUGGUCUGUAACUGACGCUGAGGUUCGAAAGCGUGGGUAGCAAACAGGAUUAGAUACCCUUGUAGUC